rnacentral:ncRNA from 1 species
CGAAGGGGACGACCUCAUCGCCUGAAACUAUCCGGGGACGGCCCC